AUACUUACCUGGCAGAGAAAACACCGUGCUCAAGAAGGUGGUUCUUCCAGAGCGAGACUCAGUUAUUGUACUCUGGGUGUGUUGACCUCUGCGAUUUCCUCAAACAGAGGAAACUCGUCUGCAUAAUUUGUGGUAGUGGGGGACUGCGUGCGCGCUUUCCCCUG
ensembl:snRNA U1 U1 spliceosomal RNA